rnacentral:rRNA from 1 species
CCUUGACAUACUAAGAACUUUCCAGAGAUGGAUUGGUGCCUUCGGGAACUUAGAUACAGGUGCUGCAUGGCUGUCGUCAGCUCGUGUCGUGAGAUGUUGGGUUAAGUCCCGCAACGAGCGCAACCCUUUUCCUAUUUGCCAGCGGGUCAUGCCGGGAACUUUAAGGAUACUGCCAGUGACAAACUGGAGGAAGGCGGGGACGACGUCAAGUCAUCAUGGCCCUUACGGCCAGGGCUACACACGUGCUACAAUGGUCGGUACAAAGGGUUGCUACCUCGCGAGAGGAUGCUAAUCUCAAAAAGCCGAUCGUAGUCCGGAUCGCAGUCUGCAACUUGACUGCGUGAAGUCGGAAUCGCUAGUAAUCGCGGAUCAGAAUGCCGCGGUGAAUACGUUCCCGGGCCUUGUACACACCGCCCGUCACACCAUGGGAGUUUGUUGCACCAGAAGUAGGUAGUCUAACCGCAAGGAGGACGCUUACCACGGUGUGGCCGAUGACUGGGGUGAAGUCGUAACAAGGUAAGCGUAGAUGA